CCUGGCUCCGCCCCGGCCUCGGCCCCGCCCCCGCCCCUGCCCCGGGGCAGCCUGUGCUGUUCCGUGUGCGCGGCGCAUACGCACCUGGGUUGUCUCGAGCCUGCGGUAGUGGCCAGAUCCCAGACAUCCGAGUAGAUCCCGUGAAAAGCUUCUUCUUGGUUUCUUCGUACAUUCUGGAUCCACCCCUUUCAUGCAUAUUCCAGACCACAUUUCCACUGGAGCAGUUGAAAUGAGAGAGAUGGGAAUGGGACUCACCCGAACCAGAGGAAUUUUUAUUACAGACCCAUUAACAGAGGUGUCAAAGUCACAGGAACAAGGAUGUGCACCUCAGAAACACAGAGGUCAGUGGAAAAUCAGUUUGCUUCUAUUUGUUUAAAAAAUGGGGGACUUAUGCAUAAAUCUAAGACCUUCUUGAAUCUAACAUUCUAAGACCUGUAUGCCACAGAAAGGAGGGUCUCAGAACGCCGGAGGAUAGUAUUUAAAUCUUAAAUAUCUAUAUUGUUCUCCACAGUUACUGGGUCACCACAUAGCAGGCAUUCAAUAAAAACGUGUUUGUUUACUAAGUA
rnacentral:lncRNA from 1 species